AAAACAGCCCAAUAUGUUGAUCUUUUACUCUAUGAUUAGUGAUUUUUGUGUUCUGUUGAAGACACAAAUUUUUGAAGAGAAUCCCCUUUAUUUUCUUUCUAUUAGCAUUAUUAUUUUAACAUUCACAUUGGUCUGUCAUUAAUCUCAAAGUAUUUAUUUACAUGUGUGGUUUAAUAUGGUGGUCAUGGUUUCUGGGUUUGUUUUUGUUUUUGUUUUGCUUAUAGAUGUCCAAUUGAUACAGCACUAUUUAUUUCAAAAGGCAAUGCUUUUCUGAUGAAUUGCAGAGGUGUCUGUGCCACAAAGUAGGCAAUACCAAUGAGCAGACUUCACUUAUGUUCUGGAUAAAUAAAAGCCUACACAAGGAGCCUUGAACCAUAGGAUACCCACAACCAGUGCAGGGCAGUAACACAGCUUUGGCCAUGCACAUGGGGAAAGCACCCUUAACUGAUACUGUGAAGAAACAACAUAGAAGAAAACCGUGCCUUAUUUGACCUUGUAGAAUAUAAUCUGAUUGCUCAUCUCUAGACUACAAUGUGGCAGGGAUUUGAGGAGAAUCAGAAAGACUAAAAAGUGGCAUAUCCAAGAUUGGACAUCCUGAUUGAGUCAAGAAAUGAUUGGAUUCAGAGUCUUGGAACCAGAUAAGGACCUCAUAUCAAAGGAAUGCAGUGCAUGCAUGAUGAACAAGACCUGGCAAUUAUUUUUUCUUAUGGAACUUAAGGAAAUCAAGGAAGACUUUUGAACCCCAAAAAGUAAAAAAUAAUAAUAGUAAUGGAUAAAAUAAUUUACUAAGAAGUAGAAGAGGAAAAACAUUAUUUGAAGAAAUACGGCAGCAACCAUUGCCAUUAGCCAUGACUACUGGCUAAUGUAUACUAGUAGUUAUGAUUUGCAAUUACCUACCAACAUUUAAUUGUCUGGUUCCUCUAUGUGUUUGGUUCCAAGAGUGUACAGGUGCUAUAACUACAAUCAAUAAAAAAAACAACAUAGACUUAGACAAAGGCAGUAUUUGAAAAAAUAUACUGAGUUUGGUAUUUAUUACCUAUGUGAAUUUUGGGAACCACUUAUAUUCUCUUAAAAUAAUUUUCUUAUUUUGAAUUUGAGUGAGACACCUCCCAGUAUUAUUUACUAAUGUUACAUGAAACAAUAGAAUAAUUGAAAGUUUUUAAAGUUUAUUACUUGUUAAAAUAAUAUUCUGUUAUUAUUUCUUUUUACAUAAAUUUACUUAAAGAAAAUUGAUAUCUUUAGAAAUUGAAUAACUGCUUAAUGCAUGAUGUUUAACCUGAAGACUUAACUAUGUGCAGGUCAGGAACUGUGAACAUAAUCAGCUCCUUAUUUUAAAAAUUUCAGAGCUCAAAUUUCUCUCUUAAUAAAGCACCUUGAUGGUAAAUACCACAUUUUAUACUGCAUUAAAAAUUCUAGAAAUAUUAUACACCUUACUUAUGCUAAAUAAACAUAGAGAAAUAUAAAUACAUACUGAAACAUUUUCUUCAAAAGAUAAUUGCAAAUAUUUAUAUUAAAAUUCCACUAAAGAGGAUAUGUGGAUGCCUGUAACAUUUUAGCCAAUAUUCAUAAUAUAUACAUAAAAGUUAAAAUAAUCACAUAAAGAUAAUAUUAUUUGUAUCUCAUUUGGUCAAUAAUGGUACAAAUAUUGUUUUGGAUUAGCUUAUUGCAUGGUGUUGAUAAGGUUACAUAAUUCAUGGUUUCACAGGCUUAUGAGGGGAACUAACUGAUAAAAGUCCUAAAAAAGAAUUCAGAAAUAUGUUGUGAGAUUACUUCUAGCACAAACAACUCUCAGCACAUAGUAAACCUAAUCAGAAAAAAACCCUUUCUAUGGUUUCAUAAUCUAUAUUGAAACACUCUGGCUCACUUUCUUGGCUGUAUAAUCCUCUUUCACUUGCAUAUAAAGAAUAUACUCUUCACAGAAGUAUGAGGAUUAGUAACAAAAAGGCAUUAAUGUUAUCUUCUAUAUGCUUCCCUGUUCCAAAAGAGUUCAAUACGAGAUUUUUUUUGUUAUUACUUAGAAACUUUCCAAAAGGCAUAUAGGUAACAGCAAUCUUAGAGAUAAGAAAACUAAUUUAAAGGGAUUAAAACUUUACCAAUAUGAUGUCAAAUAUUUGCUUGAAAAGUGAAAAACCAAAAUGUUCAAUUGGCUGUUUUGCUGGGUCAUCAGUAACAUGUAGUGGACAAGCAAGUCUUCAAUACUGUUACUUAGAAAAGAGCUUUUCUUAAUGAACUAUUUUAAAUCAUAUACUCUAGAUCAACAACAGAUCACGUAAAACACUGAAAAUGGCAGGACCUCAGAGAUAAUCAGCUUCUUAGAAUUAAAAAAAAAAAAGAACACCAAGGAAAUUCAGUGUCUGCUUGGAUAUAAUGAGUUGUGAUUUUAAUAACCCCAUACCUGCUGAGAUAUUAAUAUUCAUAUAGUCUAGUGAAAAUUUUAUUCUUCAUAUAUUCUUUCAAACUUGUUAAAAGUUUGAAUUUAGUAUGACAAUUUUUCUCAGAAAUUCUAUUAAUUCAUUGUCAAUAUUCUUACACACAGACACAGAUUACUGUUUUUAGUAAAGUCAUUUUAUGUUAUCUUUUCCCAUAAUUUAGCUUUUCCAUUAAGAUUCUAAAAUAAAUCUCUCAAGAACCUCUGGUUUACUUUAUCAGGUUAGCACAGAAUCAUAGAAUUUUAAGACUAGAAGAGAAAAUAAUGAUUAUCUGAUCCUACAACCCUUCUGUCUUCUCUAUUUAACUGCAGAAUGGUUUUCCAAACUACAUUUGAAUGUAUCUCUGAG
rnacentral:lncRNA from 10 species